CGCCACGAUGGGGCACAAAACUGCUCCAGGGAGGGUUCAGAGUACCCGGCACAGGAAGUCCCUCCCCCCUCCCCUCUGGAUAAUGAAGUGACCCCCCCCAAAGCUCUCCUGGGCUCCAGGCCGCGAUGCUCCACACCCCGUCAGCCCCAUCUGGCAGCCCCUGGAAAUAAUCCUCAUUGUUACAGCUCAUGUGAUGUUAUCCAGGUGCACCCAAACGUUCUGUAUUCCAGGUGUGCCCAGGCACCUGGCCAGCCUGACCCAAAACAAAGGUGGUUUCUUCAAAGCAGUGGAUUUACACGAUAAAGUUAUGCCACCACUUUGCAUUUCUGUUAUUAUGGAAUUGUUCAACUGUUGCUUUGAACUCCUGUAACCCCAGCCUGCACACAGUGGAAAAAUUCUGGGUUUGAUUGCCUGAGCAUGAGGUUACAGCUCACAAUAAAGGGUUUGCUGCAGUUCCAGCUGAGUGUUCCUGUCUCCUGCAUCAUGGCAGGUUUUCUGCCUUCCUUUUGCAGGGAUCCCUCUGGAGAUUUGUUUCAAGGGUUUUGCUGAUAGAGUAGAAUUGGUAUUUCCCAGGGUUCUACAAUCCCUUUGCUUGGGAAGACUGUCUUUAAAGCCAGUACAUUCCAGUGGGAGCUCAGGUUUGAUCUGGGCUCUUCAGUUUUAUCAAAGCAUCCCAGAUUUUGACCCCUGACUUUCAAAAUACUCAAAAAUUUGCUGCUCAGUGAAUUUGCCUGAAUAAUAGAGGUGCACAGUAAUAACAAGGGCAUUUCUUAAAGCAAAUUUGGAAUAAUUCUGAUUAAGAGAUUUGCCAGCUGCAGGCCCAGCCCCUCAGUAGCCACUUUUUACACUGAAAUACCUUUUUACCACUGUGGUAAGAUUUUCUUGAAAGUUAUUCUUAUAGUUGCUGAGGUAUUUAGGAAGGCAAAGGCCAGGAAUAGGCCUAAGAUGACAGGGUCAUUUUUCACUCCUCAGAUGAGCUUGAUAAGGCUGAAUUCAUCUCCCUGGUGAGUUCUGUUUCACCCAAAAUAAGCCUAGAAGUUGGCUGAGCAGCUUCAUAUCCUCAUGGUUCUCCUU